CAAGCGGUGGAUGAUGUGGAUUAAUUCGAUGCAACGCGAAAAACCUUACCUACCCUUGACAUGUCAGGAACCUCCGAAAAAUUGGAGGGUGCUCGAAAGAAAACCUGAACACAGGUGCUGCAUGGCUGUCGUCAGCUCGUGUCGUGAGAUGUUGGGUUAAGUCCCGCAACGAGCGCAACCCUUGUCAUUAGUUGCUACAAAAGGGCACUCUAAUGAGACUGCCGGUGACAAACCGGAGGAAGGUGGGGAUGACGUCAAGUCCUCAUGGCCCUUAUGGGUAGGGCUUCACACGUCAUACAAUGGUACAUACAGAGGGCCGCCAACCCGCGAGGGGGAGCUAAUCCCAAAAAGUGUAUCGUAGUCCGGAUCGCAAUCUGCAACUCGACUGCGUGAAGUUGGAAUCGCUAGUAAUCGCGGAUCAGCAUGUCGCGGUGAAUACGUUCCCGGGUCUUGUACACACC
rnacentral:rRNA from 1 species